rnacentral:rRNA from 1 species
GUGAUGCGGACCGAAAAAGAGUAGGGAAGCUGUUAAGCAAGCCGUCAAGAAAAGCUGCUAUUGUUUCAUUAUGGCCCGUACCGUAAACCGACACAGGUGGAUGGGGGGAGAAUCCUAAGGCCGGCGGAAGAAGUAUUGUUAAGGAACUCGGCAAAAUGACCCCGUAACUUCGGGAGAAGGGGUGCCUGCGAGAGCAGGCCGCAGAGAAGAGGCCCAAGCAACUGUUUAGCAAAAACACAGGUCUAUGCAAAACCGAAAGGUGAGGUAUAUGGGCUGACGCCUGCCCGGUGCUGGAAGGUUAAGGGGAGUGGUCAGGAAACGAAGCCACGAACUUAAGCCCCAGUAAACGGCGGCCGUAACGAUAACGGUCCUAAGGUAGCGAAAUCCUUGUCGGGUAAGUUCCGACCCGCACGAAAGGCGUAAUGAUUUGGGCGCUGUCUCGACAAUACAUCCGGUGAAAUUGAAGUGCCAGUGAAGAUGCUGGCUACCUGCGCCAGGACGGAAAGACCCCAUGGAGCUUUACUCCAGCUUGAUACUGGGACCCGGUAUUGCAUGUACAGGAUAGGUGGGAGGCUAGGAAAUGUGGACGCCAGUCUGCAUGGAGCCGCUGUUGGGAUACCACCCUUGUGGUGCUGGGUUUCUAACCAGAGGCCGUGAACCGGUCUGGGGACAAUGUCAGGUGGGGAGUUUGACUGGGGCGGUCGCCUCCGAAAGGGUAUCGGAGGCGCCCAAAGGUUCCCUCAGAAUGGUUGGAAACCAUUCGAAGAGUGCAAAGGCAGAAGGGAGCUUGACUGCGACACCGACGGGUGGAGCAGGUACGAAAGUAGGGCUUAGUGAUCCGGUGGAAUUUAAGUGGGAAUGCCAUCGUUCAACGGAUAAAAGCUACCCUGGGAUAACAGGCUGAUCACUCCCAAGAGUUCACAUCGACGGAGUGGUUUGGCACCUCGAUGUCGGCUCAUCGCAUCCUGGGGCUGAAGUCGGUCCCAAGGGUUGGGCUGUUCGCCCAUUAAAGCGGUACGCGAGCUGGGUUCAGAACGUCGUGAGACAGUUCGGUCCCUAUCCGGCGUGGGCGUAGGAUAUCUGAGAGGAGCUGUCCUUAGUACGAGAGGACCGGGAUGGACUGACCUCUGUGUACCGGUUGGCGAUCAACGCCACGGCCGGGUAGCCAUGUCGGGACGGGAUAAACGCUGAAGGCAUCUAAGCGUGAAGCCCCCCUCAAGAUGAGAUAUCCCAUCGUAAGAGUAAGACCCCUUGAAGACGACGAGGUUGAUAGGGCAGGGGUGGAAGUGCUGUAAGGCAUGGAGCUGACUGCUACUAAUCGGUCGAGGGCUUGACC